GCCUCCUGCAACCCAUAGGAGGUCCAGCCUGCCCAGUGACAAAAUUUAACGGCCUCGGUACCCUGACCGCGCAAAGGUAGCAUAAUCACUUGUUCUUUAAAUAGGGACUUGUAUCAACGGCACCACGAGGGCUAAACUGUCUCCCCCCUUUAAUUAGUGAAUCUGAUCUCUUCGUGAAAAAGCGAAGAUAAAAAUAUUAGACGAGAAGACCCCAUGGAGCUUAAAACCCCCAUAACACUUUCUUCAACAUAACCUUAAAAAAUAAGACCCUUUGUUAACCGGUUUUCGGCUGGGGUGUCCAGGGAGUACAACUAAACCUCCAUGACGAACAUUUCCACUUACCCAAGAAUUACAAUUCUAAGAAUCAGCAAUCUGACGUAAUAUGACCCGAUACUCGAUCAACGAACCAAGUUACCCUGGGGAUAACAGCGCAAUCCAUUUCGAGAGCCCUUAUCGACAAAUGGGUUUACGACCUCGAUGUUGGAUCAGGGCACCCCUGUGGUGCAGCAGCUACUAAAGGUUCGUUUGUUCAACGAUUAAAGCCCU
rnacentral:rRNA from 1 species